rnacentral:misc_RNA from 1 species
UCACAGCUUGCGCCGGCAGUCUCGCCAGAGUCCCCAACUUGACUUGCUGGUAACUGGCGAUGGGGGUUGCGCUCGUUAUGGCACUUAAGCCGACACCUCACGGCACGAGCUGACGACAACCAUGCAGCACCUCGACACAGACUCCGUAGAGCUACCUCCUUUCAAAAGUAUUCCUGUGUCGUUUGAGCCCGGGUAAGGUUCCUCGCGUAUCAUCGAAUUAAACCACAUGUUCCUCCGCUUGUGCGGGCCCCCGUCAAUUCCUUUGAGUUUCACCGUUGCCGGCGUACUCCCCAGGUGGAAUACUUAACGCUUUCGCUGUAUCACUCAGGGAUCAUUCUCCCCGAACAAUUAGUAUUCAUCGUUUACUGUGUGGACUAC